rnacentral:rRNA from 1 species
AAAAGGUGGCUAUGCUACCGCUUUUGGAUGGGCCCGCGGCGCAUUAGCUAGUUGGUGGGGUAAAGGCUUACCAAGGCAAUGAUGCGUAGCCGAACUGAGAGGUUGAUCGGCCACAUUGGGACUGAGACACGGCCCAAACUCCUACGGGAGGCAGCAGUAGGGAAUCUUCCACAAUGGGCGAAAGCCUGAUGGAGCAACGCCGCGUGGGUGAAGAAGGUCUUCGGAUCGUAAAACCCUGUUGUUAGAGAAGAAAGUGCGUGAGAGUAACUGUUCACGUUUCGACGGUAUCUAACCAGAAAGCCACGGCUAACUACGUGCCAGCAGCCGCGGUAAUACGUAGGUGGCAAGCGUUAUCCGGAUUUAUUGGGCGUAAAGGGAACGCAGGCGGUCUUUUAAGUCUGAUGUGAAAGCCUUCGGCUUAACCGGAGUAGUGCAUUGGAAACUGGGAGACUUGAGUGCAGAAGAGGAGAGUGGAACUCCAUGUGUAGCGGUGAAAUGCGUAGAUAUAUGGAAGAACACCAGUGGCGAAAGCGGCUCUCUGGUCUGUAACUGACGCUGAGGUUCGAAAGCGUGGGUAGCAAACAGGAUUAGAUACCCUGGUAGUCCGCGCCGUAAACGAUGAAUGCUAAGUGUUGGAGGGUUUCCGCCCUUCA